rnacentral:rRNA from 1 species
GACGAACCACACAACCGUUAUUCGGAGUUACUGGGCUUAAAGGGUGCGUAGGCGGCGCGGAAAGUAGGGUGUGAAAUCCCUCGGCUCAACCGAGGAACUGCGCCCUAAACUACCGCGCUCGAGGGAGAUAGAGGUGAGCGGAACUUAGGGUGGAGCGGUGAAAUGCGUUGAUAUCCUAAGGAACACCGGUGGCGAAAGCGGCUCACUGGAUCUCUUCUGACGCUGAGGCACGAAAGCUAGGGUAGCGAACGGG